rnacentral:rRNA from 1 species
UACGGAGGGUGCGAGCGUUGUCCGGAAUCACUGGGCGUAAAGGGCGCGUAGGUGGCCUGUGGAAGUCUGCGGUGAAAGCCCGGCGCUCAACGCCGGGUCGGCCGUGGAUACUCUCGGGCUUGAGCUCACUAGAGGCAGAUGGAAUUCCGGGUGUAGCGGUGAAAUGCGCAGAUAUCAGGAGGAACACCGGUGGCGAAGGCGGAUCUCUGGGACGGUACUGACGCUGAGACGCGAAAGCGUGGGGAGCGAACAGG